UGAAUAUUUUACUGUUUGUGUUUUGUUAAGCUGUAUUCUGGGCUACCAGUAUGCCUCUGCAUCAUCACAUGAUGUAGAAUGAUACAUGUGUUAAUGAAAAUAAGAGUCUUCACAUUAUGUAGCCUACAUUGUGCUUAUAAUUUCUAAUAUUUAUGGCCUUUAUGGCAUCUGUUAGUUCUAUUUGGCACCUACUGUAGGCCUAUGCUAUUUGUCCUUCCUUUUUCCGUCCACACUUGUUCCAGGUUGGAAGGGGAACUUAACAGAGCGUUCUGUGGCCAUUUAAGUGAGUGUGCUGGUCCUGGUGCCGUGCACAGUGCUGUCUGUGUAUUACCUGAUGCUGCAGUCCUUCGUCCUGCUCCUGGAGUUCAUCCUUAAUGCUGUGUUACUCUGCUUCUACAGUCUGGAGAUGCUGCUGGGAAUCAUGUCCAUAUCUGCUUUCUCCAGGUCAAAUGUGUACUGAGGAAGAGGAAUGCUGCAAUGUUCCACAUCGUUUCAAGAGGAAUG